AUUGAACGCUGGCGGCAGGCCUAACACAUGCAAUUCGAGCGGAUGAAGGGAGCUUGCUCCUGGAUUCAGCGGCGGACGGGUGAGUAAUGCCUAGGAAUCUGCCUGGUAGUGGGGGAUAACGUCCGGAAACGGGCGCUAAUACCGCAUACGUCCUGAGGGAGAAAGUGGGGGAUCUUCGGACCUCACGCUAUCAGAUGAGCCUAGGUCGGAUUAGCUAGUUGGUGGGGUAAAGGCCUACCAAGGCGACGAUCCGUAACUGGCCUGAGAGGAGGAUCAGUCACACUGGAGCUGGAACAGGGUCCAGACUCCUGCGGGAGGCAGCAGUGGGGAAUAGUGGACAAUGGGCGAAAGCCUGAUCCAGCGAUGGCGCGUGUGUGGAGAAGGUCUUCGGAUUGGAAAGCAGGUUUAGUUGGGAGGAAGGGCAGUAAGUUAAGACCUUGCUGUAGUGACGUUACCAACAGAAUAAGCACCGGCUAACUUCGUG
rnacentral:rRNA from 1 species